CCCCUCUCAGGAUGACACCUGGAGAGUUUCCAGUACUCUACCAUUUUUGGCUAAGGGAGGGAAAGUCAAGCAGAGGCAGACUCAUUCCGUUCCUAGCUUGGUCAUUGACUUGCAAGCGGAAGGCAAUCUGCUACAAGU